rnacentral:lncRNA from 1 species
GUCAAUGGGACGUCAGACAUCCUAACCACAGACGUCUAUAAUGACGUCAGUUAAUGCCCAUGACCGACGUCAAUAAACAUCGGUACUGGUUUAAAUGGACGUCUAAAGGCACUAAUUAGACGUCGAACAAAGCAUUAACCGAUGUCUAAGAGCACAUAAAGACUUCGAACAUGACAAUGACCGACGUCUAAGAGCACAUAUAGACGCCGAUUUUUGCAUUAACCGACGUCUAAUAUAGUGGUUGUGUUUUAGUGCAGUUUUAUUCCCGUCUUUGGAUAACCUAGUAGCACAAUCUCCUUUUGCUAGUUUCCCCCAAAAACAAGCUUGCGACUUUUGAAUUUGUUAUGGAUCUUUUCAACUCAAAACCAAACCUGGGUUGUUGCUUAGUUCCAUUUUCAUCCGCAAGAGGAAAAAUCACAGUGAGAAGAUAACUAGGCAACGACCCAGGGUCAUUUUUAGGUUGAAAUGAUCAAAAGAAAUUCACUAGACGCCGCUUUUUCUAGGAGGCAACUAGCAAAGGGAGAAUGUGUUACUAUGUUACCCCAAGAAAGGAACAAAACUGCACUAAAACACAUCACAAAGAAAAUAAAUUUAAUCAGUUGAACCAAAAGAUAUAAUUGAUGAAAGACUGGCAAAGAUUAAACGGUAACAAUAAAAACCACACACUUGGGAUGCAAUGCUGCAAGAGAGAAAAAGGAGAGGAGGAAGACAAUGACGUUAUCAAAAACAACAAUGCAAUGCCGCAAGAUAUAAAAAGAAGAGGUGCCGCAAGUGAGAAAAAGAAGAGGUGAAGCAAGAGAAAAAGGAGAAGAGGAAGACGCGAUAUCAGAAACUAAAUGCCACGAAGAGUCUGCGGUUUAUUUAAAAUGAAAUGGGGCAUCGGUUGCUCCGGAAAGCGACGUCUAUAGUCACAUAGACGUCGGGUAUCUAACUAAUAUGAUGUUCAAGUCAACAUUUAAACUGACAUUUUGAAUACCCAAUCGACAUCGGUUUCGAGGGGAUCCGACGUCUAGGAAGCUGAACCGAUUGACGUUUGAUUUCCUGUCAGGGAUCUUCAUGACAGUUAUGAUGGGGGCGCCGACGUCUAUGUCACUUGAGUUUGGUGAAAAUAAUUAAUUACAUGCACAUAGACGUCGCUUCCCCUUAACACCGACGUCUAAAUUGAAGUAUUUUUGUCUUCCCGCCUUCUAGACAGGCAUUAGACGUCGCCGUUUGACUAAGUGACGUCUAAGCGCUUGGGAAUUAGGUGAACAACAUUAAUUGUAGCC